rnacentral:rRNA from 1 species
UACAGAGGGUGCGAGCGUUAAUCGGAAUUACUGGGCGUAAAGGGCGCGUAGGUGGUUGCGUAAGAUGGAUGUGAAAUCCCUGGGCUUAACCUAGGAACGGCAUCGAUGACUGCGCAGCUGGAGUAUUGUAGAGGGUAGUGGAAUUUCCGGUGUAGCGGUGAAAUGCGUAGAGAUCGGAAGGAACAUCAGUGGCGAAGGCGACUACCUGGACAGAUACUGACACUGAGGCGCGAGAGCGUGGGGAGCAAAC